rnacentral:rRNA from 2 species
CGAAGAACCUUACCUGGUCUUGACAUCCACAGAAGAAUCCAGAGAUGGAUUUGUGCCUUCGGGAACUGUGAGACAGGUGCUGCAUGGCUGUCGUCAGCUCGUGUUGUGAAAUGUUGGGUUAAGUCCCGCAACGAGCGCAACCCUUAUCCUUUGUUGCCAGCGGUCCGGCCGGGAACUCAAAGGAGACUGCCAGUGAUAAACUGGAGGAAGGUGGGGAUGACGUCAAGUCAUCAUGGCCCUUACGACCAGGGCUACACACGUGCUACAAUGGCGCAUACAAAGAGAAGCGACCUCGCGAGAGCAAGCGGACCUCAUAAAGUGCGUCGUAGUCCGGAUUGGAGUCUGCAACUCGACUCCAUGAAGUCGGAAUCGCUAGUAAUCGUGGAUCAGAAUGCCACGGUGAAUACGUUCCCGGGCCUUGUACACACCGCCCGUCACACCAUGGGAGUGGGUUGCAAAAGAAGUAGGUAGCUUAACCUUCGGGAGGGCGCUUACCACUUUGUGAUUCAUGACUGGGGUGAAGUCGUAACAAGGUAACCGUAGGGGAACCUGC